ACGGGAGGCAGCAGUGGGGAAUAUUGCGCAAUGGGCGCAAGCCUGAUGCAGCGAUGCCGCGUGAGGGAAGAAGGUUUUCGGAUUGUAAACCUCUGUCAACAGGGACGAAAAUGACGGUACCUGUGAAGGAAGCUCCGGCUAACUACGUGCCAGCAGCCGCGGUAAUACGUAGGGAGCAAGCGUUAUCCGGAAUUACUGGGCGUAAAGGGAGCGCAGGCGGAGAUGCAAGCGGACUGUACAAUACCGGGGCCCAACCCCGGACCUGCAGUCCGGACUGCACCUCUUGGAUAGUUCAGGGGCAAGCGGAAUUCCUGGUGUAGCGGUGGAAUGCGUAGAGAUCAGGAAGAACACCGAUGGCGAAGGCAGCUUGCUGGGGACUAAUCGACGCUCAUGCUCGAAAGUGCGGGUAGCAAACAGGAUUAGAUACCCUGGUA
rnacentral:rRNA from 1 species